rnacentral:rRNA from 1 species
GGUGAGUAACACGUGAGCAACCUGCCCUGGACUCUGGGAUAAGCGCUGGAAACGGCGUCUAAUACUGGAUAUGAGACGUGAUCGCAUGGUCAACGUUUGGAAAGAUUUUUCGGUCUGGGAUGGGCUCGCGGCCUAUCAGCUUGUUGGUGAGGUAAUGGCUCACCAAGGCGUCGACGGGUAGCCGGCCUGAGAGGGUGACCGGCCACACUGGGACUGAGACACGGCCCAGACUCCUACGGGAGGCAGCAGUGGGGAAUAUUGCACAAUGGGCGGAAGCCUGAUGCAGCAACGCCGCGUGAGGGAUGACGGCCUUCGGGUUGUAAACCUCUUUUAGCAGGGAAGAAGCGAAAGUGACGGUACCUGCAGAAAAAGCGCCGGCUAACUACGUGCCAGCAGCCGCGGUAAUACGUAGGGCGCAAGCGUUAUCCGGAAUUAUUGGGCGUAAAGAGCUCGUAGGCGGUUUGUCGCGUCUGCUGUGAAAUCCCGAGGCUCAACCUCGGGCCUGCAGUGGGUACGGGCAGACUAGAGUGCGGUAGGGGAGAUUGGAAUUCCUGGUGUAGCGGUGGAAUGCGCAGAUAUCAGGAGGAACACCGAUGGCGAAGGCAGAUCUCUGGGCCGUAACUGACGCUGAGGAGCGAAAGGGUG